UACGUAGGGGGCAAGCGUUGUCCGGAAUUAUUGGGCGUAAAGAGCGCGUAGGCGGUCUGAUAAGUCGGUUGUGAAAGUCGGGGGCUCAACCCUCGGAUGCCGAUCGAUACUGUCAGGCUAGAGUCCGGAAGAGGCGAGUGGAAUUCCUGGUGUAGCGGUGAAAUGCGCAGAUAUCUGGAGGAACACCGAUGGCGAAGGCAGCUCGCUGGGACGGUACUGACGCUGAGACGCGAAAGCGUGGGGAGCGAACAGG
rnacentral:rRNA from 1 species